GUAGGGAAUAUUGCGCAAUGGACGAAAGUCUGACGCAGCGACGCCGCGUGAGUGAUGAAAGCCUUAGGGUCGUAAAGCUCUGUUGAAUGGGAAGAAAAAAAUGACGGUACCAUUCGAGGAAGGACCGGCUAACUUCGUGCCAGCAGCCGCGGUAAUACGAGGGGUCCUAGCGUUGUUCGGAAUCAUUGGGCGUAAAGGGUGUGUAGGUGGCCAUGUAAGUCAGGUGUGAAAGCCCCGGGCUCAACCCGGGAAGUGCACUUGAUACUGCGUGGCUUGAGUACCGAAGAGGGUAGUGGAAUUCCAGGUGUAGUGGUGAAAUACGUAGAUAUCUGGAGGAACACCGGUGGCGAAGGCGGCUACCUGGUCGAGUACUGACACUGAGACACGAAAGCAUGGGGAUCAAACAGGAUUAGAAACCCGGGUAGUCC
rnacentral:rRNA from 1 species